AUACCAUGCGGAAUACGCCAGUUCUCGUUUGAUCACCGAAGUCAAGCAUUAUCGGGCGCGGUCAAUACUUGGGAUAGUGAUCAACUAAGAACACGCCGCG